UGCACUCCUCUACAUUCCUCCUGUGCCUGCAGUAAAGUUUGUUUUUCCUUUUUUUUUUUUUUUGCUCUUACUUUUCUACCGCACGAGGAAAAACCUAUCACAGAUUUAUCCUGCCACCACAAGGCCUGCCAGGGGCUCUUCUGUCCGCAGCUCAGGUGGCUGCAGAGAAGCACAAUGCAUGAACCCCUCCCUUCACGGUGACCAGAGUGGGAAUAUGGGCCCACAGAGACGGCAGCACAGACGCAAACCGUUGGGGCCGCGGUGGUGACUCCGGGGCCCGCGUGUGCUGUCCCAUGGCGUCUCGGGCUCAAAACUCCGGACCCUCAGGGAUCCCGGGGCGGCAGUCCAGCACUGGACCUUCCUCGAGCCGCUCUGCUGCACAAGCCGCGGGCUGCGGAAGGACUUCACGAAAGGUCUGGACCAUCCACCUUCACGGAGACACACACGGUGCUGCCGCCUUGCUCUCGGAACAAGGACACGAUAACCUUGUUGACAGCUGAGGGAGACGUACAGCUAUGUCCAGAAAUGCCUCGUGGGGACCCCUCUUUAAACGGCUCCCCAAGUUACUUGGCAGUCAGCCUGUGGCUCCAGAGCUGAGGCGGUGAUGACGGGAAUUACUGCUACUGAGCUGGCCAAGGGGAGCCCCUCACUGACACGCGCCCAACAGAGCUGCGUCUUACUCCAAAGAGCAACCCCUGGCCCUUGCUGCAGCCGUUACCAAGUCUUUAAGGAGUCUGCCCAUGCCGGCCUGGAUCUGGACCCACUGGCCCACCCCACCGCUGAAGAACUUCUGAUCACAAAUGCAAUGGGAAGCUCAAAAAUGACUUCUCUGACGGAACCACGGGAUGGAUGUAAGAAGAGGAGAGCAGACGGACACAGGGAGGACGGGUCUGAUUCCCGGGGAACACACAGAGUGCGUCUGAUUCCUGGACGCACUCUGCGUGCAAAAAGCCUUAAAGCGUGAAACUGUGGAACCCGGCAGAGCCAGGCCGGGCGCCUGCGAGCGCCGAGCUUCAGCAGCGGGACGAGAACAUCCCCCACCAGAGGUGAGGACAGGCGGGGGACUGUCAAGCGCUCCGCAGAGGAACCCGGAGACAUAACGUUCAGCACGGAGCCAGGGAGACCCACCUGCCAGCCACCUGCCAGCCACCUGCCAGCCACCUGCACUUAGGGACGCCGCUCGCGCUUGCUGCGCUUUGGGAAUGUGCGCAACACUGAAGACGCUGCUCAACUAUUCGGUGCUGAUGUUUAUCAUUUUGUAGUUUGAAGAGGUUUUUUUUGUUUUGUUAUUUUUUGUGAGGAGAGGUCUUUUUGAGACCGUUUUGCUAUGCUGUUACGUUAUUCUAAACAUUCAAUUCUUAUAAAGCUUCAAAAUGUUUUUUUCUAACGUAAGUAUACUCUAAAAAGGAUUGUUUAUGGAGAGGUGGAAACAAGUCAUGCUUUCUUAUAAAAUAUAAGUUUUCAAUAAACUCCUGGAAAUGAAACAUGGGAAAAUAUUGACGCUUACACUCCUGAAUUGGCAUCAACUCCAGACUGAUGCUGAUCAUAUUUCAGAGCCCUGCUGGAAGCUUUUAUGGGCAACAUGCAGCAACAGAGGUGCCUCCUGGUCUGCAGUGCUUAUCUUCUCUGUGCAUCAGAAGAGGCAAUUAACCCUCAUUUCAUAUGGUUGAAAAUUUAGGGCAACAUCAUCUAGCCAAUGAGGGGCUAUGGCUACGCAGGAGGAAUCAGUCUGGCUCCCUCCUUUAAAUCUUUAACUCAAACUGCCCAAUGUACACUCAGAUGUAGAGAGCUUACCCCAAAGCUAAUUGUCACGUGAUUAAAUACCUGAUCUACAGGUAUGCAUAGAACUUGCACCAGCAUAUUUCUGUCAUGGUAGUAAACUGUCCUAUAAACGUAUUCAUUUUUGUUCUUCAUAAUUAUCACUGUGUCAGAGUCAGGUGUUCAUUUUUGAACAAGUAUUUACCUGGGCAUUUUGCAGUUCACAGGAGAAUAACCACAGGAUAGAAAGAUUACGUCCAUAUCAAGAUAAAUUAGGCGGCACAAUGACUUUUCAUUUAUAUUUGUGGUACUGGUAAGUGGGUGAUAUUUUUUUUUUAAGUCCUGCAUAAGUGUUGAGCAAGGAACUGUAUCAGGAGUUGUGGAACUACAGACAUUAGUUUUCAUAGUAAAUGUUUUACUGUUUGGAUCUACACAUUUGGUUUUUGCACAAGUCAUGCCUUUAAAAAAUCUAAAUAUUUGCCAGACAUUAAAAGAUAGAUGUUCUACAGGUAAAGAAUACAAGUUUUAGUCAAAGUGUCUACCACAGCCUAUUUUUAUUUUUAAAUACAGACACUUAAAGUUGUGUGCUAUAUGCAAAACAAAAAGUCCUUUUCACUGGUGCCUAUGCUGUAAUAAGUAUUUUUAUUGGUUCAGCUAAAAUUUUCACCUGCAAUAUAACUGAAAUUCAAUUACAGUUUACCAUCUGUAGCAACCUAUAAAUAAUUUAGCAACUCAUAUCAUGGAACAAAUGAAUACUUUUUUUUGAGACAAGUUAUCUCCAGGCUGGCUCUGAACUGACUGUGUAGCCUAGGCUGGUCUCGAAUUCAUGGAACAUGUCCUCUCUUAGCCUCUUGAGUGCUGGGAUGUGCCAUCAUGCCAGGCAAAAUGAAUAUUUUUUUUUUAAAUUAAAGCAAGUUUAUAAACUGGUUGGUUGAAACAGAUGUGAAUUGUAUUGCUUAUUCAUUAUAGUUAUUAGUCCAGGAAACUGUUUCUCAGUGACCUAUACACCAGUGUUUGGGGGACUUUUAAAAACAUUUUUUAGGUUCUUUUUCUUGAGAAAGGGUCUUGCUGUGUAGCUCCGGCUGGCCUGGAACUCACUAUUAGCCUAAGAUCAUCUCAAACUCAUGGCAGCCCUGCCUCAGCCUCUCAAUGCUGGGAUUACAGGCGUGCACCACCAUGCCUAUUUUAAAAAUAAAACUUUAAAAUUUAAAAAUAGUAAAAAGCUUAAUGUUAAGUCUGUAUUUUUCAUCUGUAAACUGAGAAACAGGCAUUAAUCAAACACUACAUUAUGUGUGCCUGUUUUCCACUUGCUAGUUAGGAGAAAUCCUUGUAUGAAUUGUGUGCGAUUUUUACUGAAUGGCUGAUCAGGCUUGCCACCCUCCUUGCAUGUAUGCAAAACUGGACUGCGCUGACCAGCAGUAGACAUGCAUGGGAGUUUAAAUGGACACCACGUAAUCCCAGGCAUCUCCUUCUGGUCCCUGCACAGCCGAGCACAGCUGUGCACAGCACAAUCAGGGCCUGGGGAGUUCAGAGUUAUUUCUCUGGACCGCACUAAUGCUGCUCAGGAAGCAGAAGCAGCCCAGGGUGCUUGUGUGUGUUUCAGGUUCUGGCUCUGUCGCUGCUGGCUGUGUGACCUUGAGCAGUGACACCCCUAUGCUACCCCUGUGAAUUGGGACAACAGGAGCACCUGUCUGCCUCUCAGACCGACUUGAUUACAUUAGGGCUUGCUGUGCAGUGGGCAGUGCCCAGGCACUGCUGUGGUCAGUGUCUGGCUUCCUCGUGUCAUUUCCACCAGGAACAUGGACAGACAGCCUGCAUGAAUACCACACAGAGAAUGCAGUUUAGAUCGUGGUUUCAACAUACGGGAAGAUGCUACACCUCAUUAAUAAUCAGAGAAUCACAGACUUGUUUUCUAAUCUUUCAAACUGGCAAACAGCUUUGAAAACCUGUUAAUGCCAGGCAUGGUGGUACACACCUACAGCACCAGCACUGGUAGGCAGAGUCAGGAGGAUCACAGGAGGUUCGAGGCCACCUUGGGAUACCCAGUGAGUUCAAGGGCAGCCUGGAUACCCAACAAGACCCUAUGUCAGCCCCGCCCACCAAACCAUCACUGUUUCUUACUGCUCACUAGGCACGGGAACUCACUGAGCCUGACGCAGGCGUGACCUCUGAGCACGCACCCAUCGAAAGGCCUUAGAGCUAGGGGCAGCGCGCAUGCCUGGCUGCAGGACUGAGUUCAAGCCCAGCCUGAACCCCUGUCUAGAAAAUGAAGCAAAAAAGAAAAAGGAAAACAAACUCUAGAACCUUAGAAAUAGUCAUACUCUGGCCUGAAAUUCAUCCCAGUAAUCUGUCACAAGAAAAUAAUUCCUAGUAUAGUGACGAUUUUAUGUACAAAGAAAAUUAGAUCUAAUCUGUUAUCUUAUCACAGCAACAAAAUUGUCGGCAGACUAUCUGUUCAACUUUAGUAAAAUGGCUAAGUAAACAUACGGACUGUUUCAUACCCAGCAGGAAAACUGCGAAGAGCUUACGACAAGAAAAAUAUUUACAAAACAACAAAACAGAACACAGGCCACAUGUAAGAUCCACAAAAAUGACAGCAGUGUUUGCCUCUAAACGUGACUGCUUGUGAUUUUGGAUUUUAUUGUACUGUACUAUCUAAAUUCUUGAAGAAAAGAACACUUUUACAGAAAAAACCUGUAACACUUAAAGACCAAGGCUGAUUCAAAGCCAGCAGCCUCAUGGACGCCCUUCCCGAGACACGAGGCCUACCUUUCUCACCCUGGCCUCUCCGGUCCUCUCUGCCAGCGCUCCUGACCAGAGCCACUCUACACGGAUAGGCCCGGUGUUUCCAGCUGUGAACUCCUCCCCUCGCCUCUGUCCCCGUGGGCAACACCUAGCCAAGACCCUGUCACAGCUCCUGCAUGACCUACGGCCUUGCUGCAGCCCAGGCUGUUCUGAAAUGACGGAGGGGCAGCUACGAGCUGCAAGCAGAACGACCUUAAAGGGCAAAGCUAUGCUCGGCGACUUACCCGCCUGUGCCUGCCUGCCUGCUUGCCUGUUUUCUUUCUUUCUUUCUUUCUUUUCUUUCUUUCUCUCUCUCUCUCUCUCUCUCUCUCCCUUUCUCCCUUCCUUCCUUCCUUCCUCUCUCUCUCUCUCUCUCUCUCUCUCUCUCUCUCUCUCUUUCUUUCUUUUUCUUUCUGAGGCAGGGUCUCG